AACAAACGCUGGCGGCGUGCCUAAUACAUGCAAGUCGGACGGGGAAAGCUUUCGGGUGAGUACUAGUGGCGCACGGGUGAGGAACGCGUGGAUAAUCUGCCUUAGAGUGGGGGAUAACUAGUCGAAAGAUUAGCUAAUACCGCAUAAGACCACAGGAGCUGCGGCUCUAGGGGUCAAAGGUUUUUCGCUCUAAGAUGAGUCCGCGUAAGAUUAGCUAGUUGGUGAGGUAACGGCUCACCAAGGCGACGAUCUUUAACUGGUCUGAGAGGAUGAUCAGUCACACUGGAACUGAGACACGGUCCAGAAUCCUACGGGAGGCAGCAGUAGGGAAUAUUGCACAAUGGAGGAAACUCUGAUGCAGCGACGCCGCGUGAGUGAUGAAGGCCUUCGGGUCGUAAAGCUCUGUCGCAGGGGAAUAACACAAUGAAUGUACCCUGUAAGAAAGGAUCGGCUAACUUCGUGCCAGCCGCCGCUGUAACAC
rnacentral:rRNA from 1 species